AUGCCUGCUCAGUGUUUGGUUGUGGCCUUUGUAUCUGGCUCAGGGAUUAAGUUCUGUCUUGAGUUUGCUUUAAAUGAAAGGAACCUUGGCAUCACUUCAGCAUCACUGUUAGCCACAAGGAGAUGGAGGAUGUACAGAUGAGGACCACAAAUCUGCACCAUAAAAGGGAACUAAAGGCACCAUAAUGCACAGUGAGCUUCUGGAGUUCACAGCUGUACAACACCACCUAAGCCAUCAACUUGGCAAGAUUUUAAACUGGCCUUUUAUACACGUGCAGGAUUCUUCAGAGCCGCAGCAUGAAGUGUGGAAAAGAUGAAUUUGGCAA
rnacentral:lncRNA from 1 species